rnacentral:misc_RNA from 1 species
AACGCAUAUUGCGCUCUUUGGUAUUCCGAAGAGCAUGCUUGUUUGAGUAUCAGUAAACACCUCAAAGACUUCAAUUUGUUUUGAAUGGCUUUGGACUUGAGCAAUCCCAACACCAGUCUUUACGAUCGGUGGAGGGUUGCUUGAAAUGCAGGUGCAGCUGGACAUUCUCCUGAGCUAAAAGCAUAUUUAUUUAGUCCCGUCAAACGGAUUAUUACUUUUGCUGCAGCUAACAUAAAGGGAGUUUGACCGUAUUGGCUGACUGAUGCAGGAUUUCACAAGGGUCGGCAACGAUUCUUGUUAAACUCGAUCUCAAAUCAAGUAAGACUACCCGCUGAACUUAA